UGGCAACUGUGAUGACUCCUUUUAACUCUGCAAUGCACACCAUUGUGAAAUGGAGACACUAGUCCCUCUAAACUGAUGUUGCCU